CGCGCGCGCAGAGCCGGGGGAGGGAGGCCUAGGCUGUCGGGGACCGUCGGGAGUGUGGGCGGCCCGCGAGGUCGGUCCCCUGUCACUCGCGCGGAGGCCUGGUCGGUAGGAGCGGACUCCCGGGAGGCCACGCGGUCUGGCCAGCCACCCGGGCCGCGAGAGUCACCAGGCCCCUCCUUUCCGCCCUCGGCCGGAACGGAGUGUGCGGGUUCGCGGCGCGGCCGGAGAGUGAGCUAAGCGGCGGCCGCCGAGGCGCCUGGGGAGUUCAGACUGGAAAGCAAGAAGUCUUAGGACUAGAGGGAGGAGACCCUGGCCGCACUGGCCUUUCCGUUGCACAAGGUUUUAAUUUGUUCUGUUCAACUGUUCAGCGAUCUUGAGUAAAAAAGAUUAUCUGGCCUGCUCCAUGAUUUUGGCUUGAUGUGAAAAGAUUAAGUUAUUCCUCAAAGUGGAGGAUUUACGUGAGUGCUGGGAUUACAGGCACGAGCCAGACAUGGUGGAGGCUGAAGUGGGAGGAUCGCCAUGGGCCUGCAACCAGCCUAGACAGUGAGUGACAAGACAACUUGGGCUACAGGAAAUUAUGAGCCGAGGAUCUCAAGUUCACAUGUUUUGGGGAGCUCCAGUUGCUCCACUGAAAAUGACGAUAUCACAGGGAACAGCUUCCUUAAUGUCCACUGCCAACGCCUGGGAACAAAUCCACCUUUUGUACAAACAACAUUCUUUAUAUCUGAAGGCUGAAAACCAGGAGCUUAAAAAUCUGAAAGACUACCAAAUCCCAGAAACUGCUGGCCCUCCAGAUGUUCUUAGUGGUCACCUUUCAACAACUUAUGUGACUAGGUCUGCGCAGGUGGAAAAUGGUUUCAUCUAUUCUGCUUCUGAAACACAGAGUAUAAAGUCCCAGAAGAUUAAUCCCGCAGGCCAGAAUGAUAUGACUAAUGUGCAAAUAUGUGAAUUUAAGGACAGAGUUCAGCAUUUACCUGAAGAAGAAAAAUAUCAGAGGUUUCAGUGUGAAAAUAUGAAACUUAGAGAUGAUCAGUCUAAAAACCAGUCAAAUCCCUGUGUUCAGAACUUUCAAGCAGAUCUGCUUCCGUUAGAUCAUAAAUGUACAGCUGAAUUGGAUUUGGACUGUUGUACUGAACAGAUUACUAUAGGGCCAGAGGCUGUGAGAACAAAGCCUGAGCCAGAGUCUGAGGGAGCGGUCGGGAAGGCCUCAGACCAGAAAGUGUCUACUGACACUGAGUUUCUCAGUAUAAUGACCUCCAGCCAGUGUGCUUUUCUAGCUCAAGGGAACAAUAAAGGGCAAGACUGUACAAAUAAAGGGACUAUAAACAUGGGGAUGGAACCCACAGGAAGUCCAGAAGGAAGACUAGCUGAAGAUAAUCUUGCUAAACCCAUGGACAAUUCUGAAAGCGAAUCUGAGAGUGAGCAGAGCCAGGCGUAUUCCCUGGAACUUUUUAGUCCUGAAUCAGAAAGCAGUCACGUUAACAGAAACCCUGGAAAAAGUCUUGAAAAUAAUAUAAGUUCACAAGAUCUUUUCAGUAGUGAAGAAAACCCGCCAUCAAAUGAGGUAUGCAUUGAGUUGUGUGGCUCAGGAAUCCUGUGUUCCCAACUAAGUACCUUCCACCAAAGUGCUGCUAAAAGAAGCCGGUCCUCUAAAGAUUUCCAUCAUUCUAAAGCUCUUUCGGAAGUCCAUCAAGUAUCCAAGAAGCCAAGGAUGGACUCUACUACAAGAGAGUCAGCGAAAACAGUGCCCCAGAGGAUCAUGUCCGAAUUUAAGGCCAUUAAAAAAAUAUCAUUAAUAAAAAACUGUGACUCUAAAAGUCGGAAGUAUAACUGCUUAGUCAUGGUGCUAACCCCGUGUCAUGUGAAGGAAAUAAACGUAAAAUCUGGACCAAAUUCUGGUUCUAAAGUGCCCUUAGCAACAGUUGUAGUAAUUGAUCAAUCAGAAGUGAGGAAGAGAGUUGUUCUGUGGAGGACUGCAGCAUUUUGGGCACUUACAGUGUUUCUUGGGGAUAUAAUUUUACUUACAGAUGUUACUGUUUAUGAGGACCAAUGGGUUGGUGAGACAGUACUCCAAUCAACAUUUACCAGUCAGUUAUUAAAUCUUGGAAGUUAUUCACAUGUCCAGCCUGAAGAAUAUUCCAAUGUAGUUGCCAGUGUUAUACUUCAGGACUUACUGGGAUAUGUGUCUUCAAAACAUUCCUAUCUCAAAGAUCUGCCUCAGAGGCAGCAUCAGAAAAUGAACACUGUAGAGUUUGUGGAAUUGGAGCAGCUGCAGCCUGAUACAUUAGUCCAUGCCAUACUCAGAGUAGUGGAUGUCACUGUAUUGACAGAGGCAGUGUAUAGUUAUAGAGGACAGAAGCAAAGGAAAGUUCUGUUAACUGUGGAACAGGCUCAAGGUCAACAUUAUGUGCUUGUAUUGUGGGGUCCAGGAGCAGCCUGGUAUACUCAGCUUCAAAGGAAAAAAGAUCGUAUUUGGGAAUUUAAGUACCUUUUUGUUCAACGCAAUUGCAUACUAGAAAACUUAGAGUUGCAUACAACACUGUGGUCAUCCUGUGAAUGCCUGUUUGAGGACGAUACAAGAGCAAUUUCAUUUAGAGCAAAAUUUCAAAAAACUAUACCCUCCUUUGUCAAGACAUCAGACUUAGCAACUCACCUAAAGGAUAAGUAUUCAGGAGUGGUUCUGAUUAAAGCCAAGGUUUCAGAGCUGGUGUUUACUGUCCCAGCAGCUCAGAAGAUAGCUCUAAAUGCUCACAGUUCUCUGAAGGGUAUCUUCUCUUCUCUUCCCAACAUUACAUAUGCUGGCUGUGCACAGUGUGGCUCAGAACUGGAAACAGAUGAGAACAGGGUCUACAGACAAUGUCUGAGCUGCUUGCCAUUUGCUGGGAAGAAAACAUUCUAUAGGCCAGCUUUAAUGACCAUAGUUGAUGGAAAACAUAGUACUUGUGUCCAUGUAGGGUCAAGGAUGAUGGAACGCAUUCUUCUCAACAUCUCUCCAGAUUGCCUCAACAGAGCGAUAGUACCUUCCUCAGAAGUCACCUACAGCAUGGUCGCAGCAGACUUACUCCACUCCUUGUUGGCCGUCAGUGCAGAACCUUGUGUGUUGAAGAUCCAGAGCGUUUUCGAGUUGGAUGAAAACAGCUACCCAUUGCAACAGGAUUUCUCCCUACUGGAUUUCUGUCCUGAUUCAUGGACGAUGUGGAGCCCGGGACUUUCUCUGAGGUCAGAGGAGGACACAGGCAGCAUUCCAAGGAAGGAGUGAUGAAAUAAUCUGUCUUUUGAAGAUUUAUAUAUUUUUUAUGUUUGUGAGUUUUGCCUGUGUCUGUCUGUGUACCAUGUCUGGUGCCCACAGAGGCCAGGAGAGGGGACUAGAUCCCCUGGGACUAGAGUAAUAUAUGGGUGUGAGCUGCCAAAUGGAUUCUGAGAAAGUGCUCUUAACUGCUGAGCCACCCAACCCUAUGAUCUGUGCUUUGAAAUAAAUGAAAUGACAGGGCUUUUGCCUGGAGUUUUUAAAAUAAAUAUUUUAUUACCAUAAUAUAUUUGUACUAAAUUUAUAAGUUAAUUUUAAAAAGAAUUCCGUGAAGCUUUUAUUAUUUGCUUUUUUGUUGGUAUUCUUUUUAUUCUGGAGAAAUGAUGUAGCAAUAAAGGCAUAUGUCACAGUUCCUGAGGGUUACAGGUGCCUCAUCUGUCUCCUAACGUAGACCCUGAUGCAUCAAGGCACUCAACACUGAAGAGCCACAUGUAAGAUGCUUCUUCAGAAGUUACUUUUCUGUUAUAAACUCUACAUGCUUUUUCUUAUUUCUGUCUUAAUAAGUGCCAGUGUGAAUUAAUUUCUCCAUGUUAACUGUAUGUGCUAGCUAGGGACACAGGACUGUUGGUGUAGUGGCAAGCGAAUUAGCUGCUUCUCUUGUUGCUGAGACGACACCCCUGCAAAGUAACCGAAGGAAGGAAGGAAGGUUGACAGGUGAAGGGCAGUCCUCAUUCUGAAGAGGGACAAGUGUCCAUGACCCCCAGGUCCAUCUUUGGGGUCCUGACAUGUCUCAGUAUUCUGAUAGCCGAAGGGAGGGCACAAAUAUUCCCAGAGUAUUGUGGCUCCUGAUCAACUGGAUUAGUAUUGUAAAAAUGGCUGUAUUCCUGAAAGCAGGCUACAUACUCAGUGCAAUCCUUAACAAAAGUCCAGUGAGUUUCUUCACAGAAAUAGAAAAAAAAUCCUAAAAUUCACGUGGAAGAACAAAAGUACCUUAGACCAGUGUUUCUCAAUCCAUAGGUCAUGACUUGAUAUUCUUUCAUAUCAAAUAUUUACAUUGCAAUUUAUAACAGUAGCAAAAUUACAGUUAUGAAGUAGCAAUGAAGUGAUUCUGUGGUUGGGGGUCACUACAACAUGAGGAGCUGUAUAAAAGGGUCACAGCAUUAGGAAGGUUGAGAACCACUGCCCUAGACAGUCAAAGCCAACUGAAAAGCAAGAGCAGUGUUAGAAGAAGCACAGUAUCUAAUUGUAGUGGGUAGCCAUUCCAGCUUUGAUCUGGAAGUUCCAACCCCCAUUGAGGCUUCGGUAACUGUCACGCCUACAAGGUGGGGCCAAGAGAGGACCCUGAAGACCCGAGAUCAGGAUGUGCCGGCUCUCUUGGUUCCUGGACCCUGGAUGCUGGAGGUAGACCAAGCAGAGUUCUCCAGAGAACACUGCCGAACUGCGCCACACCUUUCCCAGACCCUGUUACCUAUCCCUUCACUUAGCUACGGUGACAAAAACAGAUGGUCUCAGAACAGACACGUAGACCAAUGGAGUAAACUAGAGGAUGCGGAAACAAGCCCAUACAGUUACAGCCACGUGAUUGACAUACACUGGAGUGUGCAUGGCAUGCUCUUCAACAAAUGGUACUGGGAAAAACCAGAUAACCACAUGAGAAUGAAGCUACUUCUGUCUCUUAUCCUGUACAGAAAGUGAUUCAAAAUGGAUCAGCACCUUUAAGAUCUGACAGAACUGCAACCGGAAAACACAGGGAGAAUCCUUCCAACAUCCAGGCUGGUGUGGACACACGGAAAGGACACACGGAAAGGACUCCAGCAGCUCAGGAAGUAAGGCCAAGAACUGGCAAAUGGGACGGCAGAGAGUUUUAAAACUUCUACAAAGCAAAGCGAAUCACAGAGUAAAGAGACGGCCUACAGGACAGGAAAUUGUCAGCUGUGUUUUUGACGUGGGAUUAGUAUCUAGAAUGAAGAACAACAGAACCAAUAAAUGACAAAUGAAUCAAAUAGUUCCCAAAGAGGUUUGUAAGUCUGUGAAGAAAACAUUCAAUGUCUGUAGCCCUCAGGGAUAGGCAAACAAAAACUGUAGUCAGAUUCCAUCUAUCCCAACCAAAGGGGCGAUCAGCAAGGAGACAGACAGCAAAUGUUGGUGAAUGUGGAGAAAGAGGAAUCCUUACACUCCAGCUCAUGGCUCCAGUAAAGAAACAGCAUCAUGCCGUUCACAGAAGGUCUGUCUGACACGUAAGAAGAGUCAUGUUCAAAGCGCGAUGUGAAGGAAGGCAAACAGAAACAGCAUACAUCUUCUCAUUCCUUAGAUAAUAUAUAAUAUGCUGUACAUUGUACAUUACAUAUAUUUAUAUGAUGUGUCUAUAUAUUAUAUAGUAUAUAUUAUAUAGUGCAUGUGACCAUGUAUAAGUGCUGUAUAAACCAAGAAGGAAGAGUCAGUGCUUGCAAAGGGCCACCCUGGAAGGUUGGCUUCUGUGUCCUGCCGGCUCUAAAUCCAUCCCUCAGUACUUGCUCUGAGCUAACAGUCAGCCUAGUGGCAGUCACUAAACAGUAGAGGGCGCUGGAGACGCACCGCGGAAGGCUGCGCUGCAGUCCAGGGUGAGCUGGAAGCCACAACAGAGUGCCCAGUUCUCUGGCCCCACUAGUGAGGGCUCAGCCAGGCUGUCACUCACGUGACUACCCUCUUCUGUCCCGCCCUCUAAGUGCUCUAGGCGGGGUCCCCUGGUGGACCUCCUUUGCUCACUCACUCCUGCCUGGAAGUUUGUCAGUCAGCAAACUAACUCAAGCCCAAACCAAGAGAACGAAGGGGUUAUUGCCAGACUUCAUCCUUCAUCGUUAGCAGUGGACAGUUAAUGUACACAGAGACACGAGAAGAAGUGAGAAGUUUAAGGAGAAAGGCAGGAAGAAGGUUUUCCCUUCUGCAGACCCUGACUGCAAAGUGCCGCAGGCUGCUGGGUGUCUUUUUCUGAGCUCUCUGGUGAAAUGGAAUGCUGGUAGCAUUUCAUACAUCUGGAAUUGAGUCCAGCUCUAGCGCUGCUUUCUAGCUGCAGGGCACUGAGAAACAGCACAUCCUCUGGACCCCACUUUCUCCUCUACUGAUGGAAGGGAGGUCCCUCCUGGGCGGGGCCUUAACCUGCUCAUGUACAAAACCUUACUCAGUUCCCAAGGGAUGGUUUCUUUCUUCCAUCCACAAUUGAAACACUGUUUCUCUUAAAGCAAACAAUGAUUCGGGCAAAUCAUUCCAUAGUAAGUAUUAGGGGAACAUAAUGGGCAAGUAUUACAGUCUGUUUUUAAAAUUGCAUGCUAAAUUCAAUUAAGAAAUUUGUCAAUUAUAUUGAAGGAGCUGGCCAUAUGCAAUCUAAUCAGUGAAUUAUUUCAUUAUAUUCUUCUUGUUAGUUAUUCAGACCUUCUUAGCAGAUAGCUAACUUCUCCCUGCUCCUUGGAUAAAAACCCAGAGCAAGUCCCAUGACUCCUUUUUCUUUAUCUCUUUUUCAGUAUUGUGACUUUUGCUCACCAUUAGUAGCAAGUAAAUAAAAUUCCUCCAGUAACUUCUAAUUCCACAGCCAGACUCUGUGUGAUACAGUCAUCCACAGUGUUUAGUGUGUACAGUCAUCCACAGUGUUCAGUGUGAACAGUCAUCCACAGUGUUUAGUGUCAUACAGUCAUCCACAGUGUUUAAUGUGAACAAUCAUCCACAGUGUUCAGUGUCAUACAGUCACAGUGUUUAGUGUGAACAGUCAUCCACAGUGUUUAGUGUGAACAGUCAUCCACAGUGUUUAGUGUGAACAAUCAUCCACAGUGUUCAGUGUCAUACAGUCACAGUGUUUAGUGUGAACAGUCAUCCACAGUGUUUAGUGUGAACAGUCAUCCACAGUGUUUAGUGUGAACAGUCAUCCACAGUGUUCAGUGUGAACAGUCAUCCACAGUGUUUAGUAUGAACAGUCAUCCACAGUGUUUAGUGUGAACAGUCAUCCACAGUGUUUAGUGUCAUACAGUCAUCCACAGUGUUUAGUGUGUACAGUCAUCCACAGUGUUUAGUGUGAACAGUCACCCACAGUGUUUAGUUGAACAGUCAUCUACAGUGUUUAGUGUCAUCCAAAGAUCCAACAUCCAGUUGUAGCUGACUUCUGCCUGUGUCCUGUUUCUCUGUUUUGUGUAUCUAUCCAUCCUUCCUUCCCCACCUUGCUCACAGGGAUGAUCAUCCAUCCUAGCAGAAACCUGCAUGGGGUAAGGAGGAAGACCACCGAAGGGGUAGGAAGCUAUAGGUCAACAGGAAACAGUGCUCAGCCGCAGUGCUGAGUACUCCCAAGACCCCUUUUUAGGGAAGUCUUCUCCACCAGCCCAUGAUCUUGUUUUGCUACAAAGUGUCCACUGGCAGCAACACCUUUACAAUCCCAACCCCUUUACAGUAUUUUUUAGGGAGCAUUGCCUUUCACUGGUCUCAAGGGAGACCAAAAAUUAACAAGAGGGCAGAAAUACGUGCUUCCUCUGAUCAUUGUCCUCGGGCAGUAUGAGCAAACAGUAUGCUCAAGGCUCUUGCAGUAAUUUGGGCAAACAUCCCACAGUGAAAAGUAAGGAAAGCGCACUUGGCAAAUGACUGGACAAAUUAUAACACAUCAUAUUGAAAUGCCAAUUGGCAGCCAUGACCCUGAGGCCGGGAGGCAACCACAUGAAAGGUGCCCUCCUAGGGAUGUACCUGUAGGAGUGAGCACAGUCCGGGAGCUGCCUCGUUACCCACACUAAUUCUUCACCCCUCCCUAGAGCUGUGCCCAUUGUUCUGUAACUUCGCAGAAAGACAUGCCUGCCUAUCUGAUCCUUGAUUUUCCCCUGGGCCAUGUGAUUUGCUUUGGUCCAGGGUUAUCAGGGGAUGCCAUGUAAGCAGAAGACAAAAACAUGUCUGCCUCCACCUUAAAAAGUGCUGCCCCUGGGCAGCUGCUGCUGCAUUAGCUGAUGCUUAGUGUGAACAGCUGUGGCACCAGCCUGGUGAAGAGCCCAGCCCAGCCAGACCCACAGAUUGAGAACAAGUUGCCUCACCUGGGGCAGUUUAUGCCCAGCUGACCCAGAGAUGCAGAAAUCAGAAAUGUUUGUACUGUGUACACUGAGAAGCUGUGAUCAUUUGCUGUGCACUAUCAUAGCGGCACAAAGAGCCACCUGAAUACAAGCAGCACCUCAACUUGCUCUGAUUGAGGGUUUCCUUCAAUCUCAAUUCUCCUGCCUCUACCUCCCAAGUUGCUACUAUUCUGCCACCCCCAACUAGGCAUUCUUUUCUGGGAAAGGCAAACUGAUAUUCAUGAACAACAAGGGGAAAAGCUGAAUGAAACACAGGCAACCUUACAAGAAGAGCCACAAGGUCAGAAGCAAAGCACAGAGAUGAAAGGACUUCUGAGAACCACUCUCCUCUGAAGGAAUUUUCUGCUUUGGGCUGAGAGGCUGAGCAUGUGGGUCGAGUCAAGGUUAAGGGUAGCAAAGGCUACAGCAUCUCUGGAGCUUGGGGGAUGAGAAACUGAGACUAGCGUUGCCAAGGCAACUGAGCAAAGAAAGACACAGAAGUCACAUUAACCCUUAGAGACUUUCCCCCUGGAAAUGUUGGUUGAAUUAUUGAGCUGAAUUAUGAAGUUAGCAGUUUCGGGGAAUGUCACAAUUCUUUUACAAGUUGGAGUCAGGACCCACAGAGGAAGAGCUCUUGGUUGGGUUCCUUGAAGGAUACUCUUGACUCAGUUCAAAACCUGACAACUGACUUGACAUGCUUAAAUAGUGACUGUAUCCACGCAUACUUUCCCAUGUGAUAUUUACACACAUAUCAUCUUCAUAGGAUGCUCCCUUUCCUGCUGUCUUGUAGAUUCAGAAUGAAUUUUUCUUUGUUUUCCUGACUUUGGGGUAAGCAGAAUACUGAUGUUAUUUUCUUAAGAUGACCAGUAAUUGCUUACCCUUAAGUACUUCUGCCCUCUGAACUCCUUUAUGAAAGUUAAUCCCAUCAGUUGAUAAUUAAAUUUAGUAAUGCCCCAGUGCUACCUGGUUGUCACUUUGCAAGAAGAUGCCAAGAACAGCAGAGUUUGGGGUUGAGCUUCACUGAGGCACUCAAGGCAGGUGGCGAAGGCUGCCAGUGGUGGAUACGACUCCAUGGACCAUGUUCUUAGAAACCAGUGACUGCUUUACUGGCCUCGCUGUCCCUAUUGCCUGUAGUACUGUCACCUCUCAGGCACUGCUAAAAACAGCUUUAUGAACGUACAGAGGAGCUGCUUCUUUCUUUUUGUUUAGGGUGGAGACUAAUUGCUUCUCUUCCAAAAAGUGUGUGAAUCUAAAUUCCAUUGAUUUGAAGGUAAAAUGUUUUUGUGAGGAUUUGAAGGUCCCCCCACCCUUUUCUUUUUAGAUAGGGACUCAUUAUAUAGUCUGGUUUUAAAGUUGAAACCCUUCUGUCUCAGCCUUCUGAGAAGUGCAUCACUAUGCCAUGUGGGGAUUUGGAUUUUGAUGGAGCUGAAGAGAUGGCUUACAGCAGUUAUGAACACUUGCUGCUCUUCCUGAAGAUCUGGGUUCAGUUUCCAGCACCCCCAUCGGGUAAUUCCAGUCCCAGGAGCUCUGACACCCUCUUCUGGUCUCCUUGGGCACCUGCAUGCACAUGGUGCACAUACACACAAGCAGGCACCCACACGUACACAACAAUGUAAAUUUGUUAAAGAAUUAUUAUAACAACUAUUUUUCUUAUUCCAUGAUUUUUAAAAAUAUUUCCUUCAGAAAAUAAAAACCUGUCUAAAAAGAA